GAUGAAGAACGCAGUGAAAUGCGAUACGUAAUGUGAAUUGCAGAAUUCAGUGAAUCAUCGAGUCUUUGAACGCACAUUGCGCCCCCUGGUAUUCCGGGGGGCAUGCCUGUCCGAGCGUCAUUGCUGCCCUCAAGCACGGCUUGUGUGUUGGGCCUCCGCCCCCCGGCUCCCGGGGGGCGGGCCCGAAAGGCAGCGGCGGCACCGCGUCCGGUCCUCGAGCGUAUGGGGCUUCGUCACCCGCUCCGUAGGCCCGGCCGGCGCCCGCCGGCGACCCCCCUCAAUCUUUCCAGGUUGACCUCGGAUCAGGUAGGGAUACCCGCUGAACUUAAGCAUAUCAAUAAGCGGAGGA
rnacentral:misc_RNA from 1 species